AGGGAAUAUUGGACAAUGGAGGCAACUCUGAUCCAGCCAUGCCGCGUGGAGGAUGACUGCCCUCUGGGUUGUAAACUCCUUUUGUACAGGAAGAAACCUCCUCAUUUAUGAGUGAGCUGACGGUACUGUAAGAAUAAGCACCGGCUAACUCCGUGCCAGCAGCCGCGGUAAUACGGAGGGUGCAAGCGUUAUCCGGAUUCACUGGGUUUAAAGGGUGCGUAGGCGGUUUUAUAAGUCAGUGGUGAAAUCAACGGGCUCAACCUGUUAACUGCCAUUGAUACUGUUGAACUUGAAUUUGGUAGAGGUAGGCGGAAUGAUGCAUGUAGCGGUGAAAUGCUUAGAUAUGCUUCGGAACACCGAUUGCGAAGGCAGCUUACUAUGUCAAGAUUGACGCUGAUGCACGAAAGCGUGGGUAGCGAAC
rnacentral:rRNA from 1 species